rnacentral:lncRNA from 1 species
GGAGGGGGUAUUGGGGUGGGGUCCAAUGAGGGGAGCACGUGGUAAGAAAGAGGUAGCACGUGUUGAUGAGGUUGUCAUGCAGGGCUUGCAUGUAAGGAAGAAGCUCUGGUUUGCGACACGUCAUUUUUGUUGGAUAUGAGGUUGUUGAAAAGAGAAGGGAAGAGGGAAAAGAAGAUUAGCGAGAAUUCGUCGGUCUUGGAUUCUUUCAUUUCAUUGGAGCAAUUUAUAAAGCAACGUUAAUGAAUGGACAAGAAGGUAAAUUACUUUAUACCUUGUCAUAUUCGAGUUUUUGGUUUAUGUUAAUUAUAUCAAUUCCAUGCAUGUUGUGUGUAUGGGUGCGUGUGUGUAUACUAAGGCUCAUCUUUAAUUAAUAACAAUGCUAAAAUUUGGAUUAACAUAAUAGUUAAAAAAGAGUUGUUUUAUUUGGGAAAUGAGCUGUAAGAGAGUUUGAUGGUAAGAAUUUUACAAAAUAAUAACUCAUUAGGAGUCACCAGGAGCAUUCGGUGUAAACCCUCAGAUGAUAAGUCAAAGAUUGAAAGUAACAUGAUAACAAAUAAAUAAUUAGAGAGGGAAAAUAGAGUAAGAGCAAAGGUUUGGUGGAUAUUGUACCCUCUCCUCCAAUAUGCUUAUUUCUCGUCUUGUAUUGUAUUGUCCAUCCUUACAUUUAAAUAGUGACCUCUUGAUAUAAGAGAAAUGAUCAGAAGUACAAUUGAGUUAGGAAAACUUAUCUUUUGUCUUCGAGAAUUCGAGUUUGACAAAUAUUAGAACUUUCAUUAUUUUAUCCUAUAUGUUAUUAGAUGUGAGUUCUUAGGCUCAUGUCAUCGGCUUGAAUUUGGUAAAAACAUGUGUAUAACAGGAGGAUUCUAGUUUAUAGUAAGGUAAUUAUUCACCAUCCACAUUUUUUUUGCACUUUUUAAAAAAUAUACAAUUCUUAAUUUUUUUGUUGAGUUCCAGUUGAAAUUAUAUUUUUUUGCACAUGUCCAUUGUUGUCUUUAAACAGUUAAGAAAACUAACGGAAUAGUCGUGUAAUUAUCCAUCAUCCACCUGUUUUUUUGCACUUUUAAAAAAAUAUACAAUUCUUAAUUUUUUUUGUUGAGCUCCACCUGAAGUUAUAUUUUUUUGCACCUGUCCACUGUCAUCUUUAAACUGUUAAGAAAACUAACGGAAUAAUGUCCAAAUUACAUUUUUGAAGCAUAGGUGAAAUUAUCAUUAUACUCUUAUGAUGUUAGCAAAGUCUUAACGAUUUGAAGACGGCAAUGGACAUGUGUAAAAAAAUAUAACUUUAAGUGGAGCUCAGCAAAAAAAAAAAAUUAAGAAUUCUAUAUUUUUGAAAAAAGUAUGAAAAAACAGGUGGACGGUAGAAAAUUUUCCUUUAUAAUAUUCACAAGUUUACUAGUCAAUGUUAGAUUUUCUUACCAUCCUUUGUUGAAUGACAUCCCAAGUAUUGUUAGAUUUUCUUACCAUCCUUUGUUGAAUGACAUAAGGACAUCUCGUGUUGUGAGGAAAUCUUGAAAGAUAUGAGUGAAUUCUUAAAUGUCAUGAGAAAAUAUCGAUUGAUAUGGGGAAAUCUUGAAUGUUAUCAAGACAAUUUAAAUUGCAUGAGAGCAGUAUUGACAUGAGGAAAUCUCGAAUGUCAUGAAAAUAACUUGAAUGACAUGAGGAGUUCUCAAAUGUCACAAGAACAACUUGAAUACAUAAAGAAAUCUCUUAUAUCAUGAGGAUAAAUUGAAUGACAUGAGAAAAUAUCAAAUGACACAUAUAGGCCAUAAAAUUAAAAUGAUACCAUGAUAAGGGCCAUUAAAUUAAGAUAAUGUUGCGAUAAAGGUCACAAUGCUACAGUAAUGCUUGCAAAUUAUGCUGCGAUAAAAGGCCAUAAUUAAGAUAAAAAUGAUACUGCAAUAAGGGCUUGUAAAUAUGCCGCGAUAAGGGCCAUGAUUAAGACUAAAAUGAUGCUGUGACAAGGGCUUGCAAAUUAAUGCCAUCAUAAGGGCUGUAAUACUCCCAAGAGCAUGAGGCCGAGUGUUCAUAUUAUGAGACCGAGGACCAAGAGUUUGCGACGAACAUAUGUAUUACGAGAUUAAGGCCCAUGAAUACGAGAUAAGGAUACGUAUUAUGAGAUUGACUCUUGAUAACAAGAGGGUAAGGAUUGUGUAAUUGUUAGAUUUAUUUCUCAUAUUAUGUGGACUGACAUAAAUUAUUUUAAUUGUUUUUUAUAUUUUACCGAAUUAAUACGUGACUAAUGUCAAAUAUUAUGGAACAAUUUUGUCAGACUCAUUUAUUAAGUGAUCAAAUAUUGUGUUAAUGAGUCUGAUUUUGACAUACCCUAUACAGUAGUAUAUUAUGGACAAAUAUAAUCCUUAAUUAUGUUAUUUUAGCUCAUAAUGGGAUGGAUAAUUUUGUACUAACACAUGAGGGGUCCCUGCGCUCAACCACUGUAUUUAAGUAACUUCAACCUAUUGGAAGUUCACUGUUCAAAAAAUCAGUGGCAUGAGUGCAAUGCACCUCUCUCUCUCUCUCUCUUGUCUCCUGUGUGUGUACACAGUAAAUUGCUGAGAGAAGCCGGAUCUUGAGCUAAGGAAAAGGAAGCGGGAAUUCAGAAGGUAGAUCAAAGCUGUAGCAACUCGGUUGAGGCUUCAUAACAAGCUUCCAAGGUUGGAUUCAUGGGAGAUCAUGGUAAAUUUCGAAAUUCCCUAAAGUAUAUGUUUAUUUAGAAAUGCACGAUUAAGGGUAUAAAGGUUGUUUUUGUUUCAGCAGUAAUGAGAUCGAGAGGCAAGAGUAUGGAGCUAAGAUUCGUAUUACGACGAGGCUCAAGAAUAUGAAGUCAAGAUACGUAUAAUAAGAUCGAGGCCCAAGAGCAUGGACCCUCGCCUACCAUGGUAGCUGGACAUCAAGUGGCUGUGAUCAAGGUUAAAGCUUCAGUCCACGUUGAGUCCAGUGGUGGCAGCGGUGUGCGCUAAUGCGCGGCUAGAUGUGACGGAUCGAGAUCCACGACCCGCGCAAAUUUACUGGCUGGUCCCGGCAACUGUGGCGGCUUCUGGGCAGUGGUUGCGGUCGGAUUUUGAAAGGGCUGUCGUGAGGAGCGAAACUCAGGUGAUGGCGGGUCUGAAAUUCCGACAGUUUCGCAAGUCGUGGCGGCGGAUACGCGAAGAUCACGGCUUCGUUUGGCUGUUUUUGGCUGCUUAGGUGUCGGGGUGCUCAAUAAUUUCUCUAAUUCGGUAUCAAAUCUAAAAUCUCGUGUGCAAACUCUAUGUUUAAUUUUUAUUGUAUUUCAAUUUAUAACUCAUUUCAUUUCAAUUUAUAGCUCAUUUCAAAGUUAAACCUAGACAAGUGAGUUCAAAAGAAAAAAGACUCUCGUAUGCUACAAGUUUGUAAUAUAUCUAAUCAACCCAAAAGUAUGGAAAGAAUAAUCGUGCGGCGGAUGCUUUGGUAAAUAUUAGCCUCUCAUGUCCUUCUUUGUGUAGUGAGAUUGUCCUCCAGACUUUAUUCGUAAUUUCAUCUCUCCGAAUGCAAAUGGCUUCCCAAACUAUAGGUUUUUUCUAGUGUUUGCGUUGGCUUAUAUUUGUUUUCCUGCAUGUUUUUUCGUAUUUUCUUACUCUUUUUUCAUGCAUCUCUUGCUACGCGUUUAUUCUUCCUUUGCUUGAUCUAUAUACUAUUUUUAUUUAAAUGAAAUUCUCCAAAAUUUGGUCGAGG